UACGUAGGGGGCAAGCGUUGUCCGGAUUUAUUGGGCGUAAAGAGCUCGUAGGCGGUUCCGUAAGUCGGGUGUGAAAAAUCUGGGCUCAACCCAGUGGAGCACCCGAUACUGCGGUGACUCGAGUCCGGUAGGGGAGUGUGGAAUUCCUGGUGUAGCGGUGAAAUGCGCAGAUAUCAGGAGGAACACCAAUAGCGAAGGCAGCUCGCUGGGACGGUACUGACGCUAAGGCGCGAAAGCGUGGGGAGCGAACAGG
rnacentral:rRNA from 1 species